CGUGCAGGCGGUUUGGUAAGUUGGGCGUGAAAGCUCCCGGCUCAACUGGGAGAGGUCGUCCAAAACUACCAGACUAGAGGGCGAUAGAGGAAAAUGGAAUUCCCGGUGUAGUGAUGAAAUGCGCAGAUAUCGGGAGGAACACCAGUGGCGAAGGCGAUUUUCUGGAUCGUUUCUGACGCUCAGACGCGAAAGCUAGGGUAGCAAACG
rnacentral:rRNA from 1 species